rnacentral:rRNA from 1 species
GCCAGACUCCUACGGGAGGCAGCAGUGGGGAAUAUUGCACAAUGGGGGAAACCCUGAUGCAGCAACGCCGCGUGAGUGAAGAAGUAUUUCGGUAUGUAAAGCUCUCUCAGCAGGGAAGAAGAGAGACGGUACCUGACUAAGAAGCCCCGGCUAACUACGUGCCAGCAGCCGCGGUAAUACGUAGGGGGCGAGCGUUAUCCGGAUUUACUGGGUGUAAAGGGAGCGUAGACGGUUUUUCAAGUCUGAAGUGAAAGCCCGCGGCUCAACUGCGGAACGGCUUUGGAAACUGAGUAACUGGAGUGCUGGAGGGGCAGGCGGAAUUCCUGGUGUAGCGGUGAGAUGCGUAGAUAUCAGGAGGAACACCGGUGGCGAAGGCGGCCUGCUGGACAGUAACUGACGUUGAGGCUCGAAAGCGUGGGGAGCAAACAGGAUUAGAUACCCCUGUAUG